rnacentral:rRNA from 1 species
UACGUAGGUGGCAAGCGUUGUCCGGAUUUACUGGGUGUAAAGGGCGUGUAGCCGGGCUGACAAGUCAGAUGUGAAAUCCGGGGGCUCAACCCCCGAACUGCAUUUGAAACUGUUGGUCUUGAGUAUCGGAGAGGCAGGCGGAAUUCCUAGUGUAGCGGUGAAAUGCGUAGAUAUAUGGAAGAACACCAGUGGCGAAAGCGGCUCUCUGGUCUGUAACUGACGCUGAGGUUCGAAAGCGUGGGUAGCAAACAGG